AUAACAAUCCAUCGGCACGCCAGUUCCAGGCCAUCUUCCGCCGCCUGAUGGUUCGGUGUGGUGUCGCACCUGGUGAGACAGGCAAUGUGGCGGCCCAGGAUAACACUGUGUCCCUGUCUGCUGUGGAGAUGUCCUCUCCUGAAACUGCUGAAGAGCACCCAUCUCCAUUCGCCAACAUUUCGGCCCUUGUGUGUGACCACAGUUAUCUCCCCACUCGGUUUGGUGGUCUGGUGGAAAAUGCUCUGGUCUACAUAGCAGGGUUUGUAGUCCGGCAGAUUCUACGAAAACUGUCCUGUGAUGUGUGCUGUGCGAGCUUGGUCAGAGAUGCUGUACCAUCUACGUUUGACAAGAGCUACCACCUUCUAACCCUAAAUAACAACGGCGGCCUAGUGAUUCCAUCACAAGUCACAGUGAAGGUGCUGAGUGCUGCAGAGAGGGUGAUCCGCCAAGCUUCACCAAGCUCCUGAGGUGUUGAGAGUCACACACAUUGUCGGGUAGGAGAUUGGAGAGGAGGAUGUUUUUCUGCUUGGGGAACACAUUGAGGAGACAGUUUGGCAGCGACAACCAUCAUUCAACAACCAUCAUUCUGACUUCUUGUCAUUGGAUUACACUGAGUGGAGCGGCUGACCGGUCCCAGAUGGCGGUCCCAGAUGGCGGUCCCAGAUGGCGGUCCAAGAUGGCGGUCCCAGAUGGAGGUCCCACGGCUCGUCAGCGCCAGUAGGCGGUAGCGGUCGAUGGGGCGUCUACUCUUUAUUAUGUCUUUGGUUUCAAACUCCUAUCAUCACUUCAUCUUCCACCCUCGUGUGGGAAACAACUUGAGGUGCCUUUCUCAGAAAGAGGUUACACUGAUCAUUAAAGGAUAAGACACAUAUAUCAUGUUUAUGAAUUUGUGCUUUGUAGCAA